rnacentral:miRNA from 1 species
UAUUAUUUGGUUGGAGCAAAAGUUAUUGAGGUUUUUGGCCAUUGCUUUUAAUGGGAAAACCAGCAAUAACGUUUGCACCAAACUAAAUAAGUAA